rnacentral:rRNA from 1 species
GACGAACGCUGGCGGCGUGCUUAACACAUGCAAGUCGAACGAAGUGGCGAACGGGUGAGUAACGCGUAAUCAACCUGCCCUUCAGAGGGGGACACCAGUUGGAAACGACUGCUAAUACCGCAUACUGAAGGAGGGGAUUGCGUCUGAUUAGCUAGUUGGCGGGGUAACGGCCCACCAAGGCGAUGAUCAGUAGCCGGGCUGAGAGGAUGAACGGCCAAAUUGGGACUGAGACACGGCCCAGACGCCGACGGGAGGCAGCAGUGGGGAAUCUUCCGCAAUGGACGAAAGUCUGACGGAGCAACGCCGCGGGAGGGAGGACGGCCUUCGGGUUGUAAAGCUCUGUUAAUCGGGACGCGGUACCGGAAUAGAAAGCCACGGCUAACUACGUGCCAGCAGCCGCGGUAAUUC